UAGAAAGGACUGAAUGAUGCAUGUUAAAGAGGAAUAGAUAUGAAUCUCUAGUUCUUAAAAUGCAUACUGAUUCGUGUGGACUUGUGGGUUUAAGUCAUUCUUAAGGGAUGAAACAGAGUAAAGAGGAAACUGACUGACAUGGAGGAAAUAAGGCUGAAUGUAAAGAAUUGGAAAUCACUUGGAGAAGAGUUGGAUUUACGUUCUCCAACGGCUUCAUAUGCCUUCUACACAUCUGUAAGAUAAGAUCACAC
rnacentral:lncRNA from 1 species